CCAGACUCCUACGGGAGGCAGCAGUGGGGAAUAUUGGGCAAUGGAGGCAACUCUGACCCAGCAACGCCGCGUGAAUGAUGAAGGUCUUCGGGUUGUAAAGUUCUUUUCUAAGGGAAGAAGAAAGUGACGGUACCUUAGGAAUAAGCCUCGGCUAACUACGUGCCAGCAGCCGCGGUAAUACGUAGGAGGCAAGCGUUAUCCGGAAUUAUUGGGUGUAAAGGGUGCGUAGACGGGAAAUUAAGUUAGUUGUGAAAUCCCUUGGCUUAACUGAGGAACUGCAUCUAAAACUGAUUUUCUGGAGUACUGGAGGGGAAAGGGGAAUUCCUAGGGUAGCGGUGAAAUGCGUAGAUAUUAGGAGGAACACCAGUGGCGAAGGCGA
rnacentral:rRNA from 1 species